CUUGUACUCCCUUCGUCCGAAAAUACUUGUCAUUGAAAUGGAUGUAUCUAGAUGUAUUUUAGUUCUAGACACAUCCAUUUUGAUGACAGGUAAUUCCGGACGGAGGGAGUACUUG
rnacentral:pre_miRNA from 1 species